UGGUCACAUUACAUUAAAAAAACUGGUUCCUGUAUGAUCACUGAAGUUAAGCAAUGUCAAAUCUGAUCAGUACCUAGAUGGGUGACUGCUUGGGAAUACCAGGUGCUGCAAGC